GUGGAUUAGAUACCCUGGUAGUCCACGCCGUAAACGAUGCUAACUCGUUUUUUGUGUUUCGGCAUGAGAGACUAAGCGAAAGUGAUAAGUUAGCCACCUGGGGAGUACGUUCGCAAGAAUGAAACUCAAAGGAAUUGACGGGGGCCCGCGCAAGCGGUGGAUUAUGUGGUUUAAUUCGAUGAUACGCGAGGAACCUUACCAAGACUUAAAUGGGAAAUGACAGAUUUAGAAAUAGAUCCUUCUUCGGACAUGUUUCAAGGUGCUGCAUGGCUGUCGUCAGCU
rnacentral:rRNA from 1 species